rnacentral:rRNA from 2 species
UUAAGCGACUAAGCGUACACGGUGGAUGCCCUGGCAGUCAGAGGCGAUGAAGGACGUGCUAAUCUGCGAAAAGCGUCGGUAAGGUGAUAUGAACCGUUAUAACCGGCGAUGUCCGAAUGGGGAAACCCAGUGCAAUUCGUUGCACUAUCGUUAACUGAAUACAUAGGUUAACGAGGCGAACCGGGGGAACUGAAACAUCUAAGUACCCCGAGGAAAAGAAAUCAACCGAGAUUCCCCCAGUAGCGGCGAGCGAACGGGGAGCAGCCCAGAGUCUGAAUCAGCUUGUGUGUUAGUGGAACGGUCUGGAAAGUCCGACGGUACAGGGUGAUAGUCCCGUACACCAAAAUGCACAGGUUGUGAACUCGAAGAGUAGGGCGGGACACGUGGUAUCCUGUCUGAAUAUGGGGGGACCAUCCUCCAAGGCUAAAUACUCCUGACUGACCGAUAGUGAACCAGUACCGUGAGGGAAAGGCGAAAAGAACCCCGGCGAGGGGAGUGAAAAAGAACCUGAAACCGUGUACGUACAAGCAGUGGGAGCACCUUCGGGUGUGACUGCGUACCUUUUGUAUAAUGGGUCAGCGACUUAUAUUCUGUAGCAAGGUUAACCGUAUAGGGGAGCCGCAGGGAAACCGAGUCUUAACUGGGCGUUAAGUUGCAGGGUAUAGACCCGAAACCCGGUGAUCUAGCCAUGGGCAGGUUGAAGGUUGGGUAACACUAACUGGAGGACCGAACCGACUAAUGUUGAAAAAUUAGCGGAUGACUUGUGGCUGGGGGUGAAAGGCCAAUCAAACCGGGAGAUAGCUGGUUCUCCCCGAAAGCUAUUUAGGUAGCGCCUCGUGAAUUCAUCUUCGGGGGUAGAGCACUGUUUCGGCUAGGGGGUCAUCCCGACUUACCAACCCGAUGCAAACUACGAAUACCGAAGAAUGUUAUCACGGGAGACACACGGCGGGUGCUAACGUCCGUCGUGAAGAGGGAAACAACCCAGACCGCCAGCUAAGGUCCCAAAGUCAUGGUUAAGUGGGAAACGAUGUGGGAAGGCACAGACAGCCAGGAUGUUGGCUUAGAAGCAGCCAUCAUUUAAAGAAAGCGUAAUAGCUCACUGGUCGAGUCGGCCUGCGCGGAAGAUGUAACGGGGCUAAACCAUGCACCGAAGCUGCGGCAGCGACACUAUGUGUUGUUGGGUAGGGGAGCGUUCUGUAAGCCUGCGAAGGUGACCUGUGAGGGUUGCUGGAGGUAUCAGAAGUGCGAAUGCUGACAUAAGUAACGAUAAAGCGGGUGAAAAGCCCGCUCGCCGGAAGACCAAGGGUUCCUGUCCAACGUUAAUCGGGGCAGGGUGAGUCGACCCCUAAGGCGAGGCCGAAAGGCGUAGUCGAUGGGAAACAGGUUAAUAUUCCUGUACUUGGUGUUACUGCGAAGGGGGGACGGAGAAGGCUAUGUUAGCCGGGCGACGGUUGUCCCGGUUUAAGCAUGUAGGCUGGUUGUCCAGGCAAAUCCGGAUAAUCAAGGCUGAGGUGUGAUGACGAGGCACUACGGUGCUGAAGUAACAAAUGCCCUGCUUCCAGGAAAAGCCUCUAAGCAUCAGGUAACAUCAAAUCGUACCCCAAACCGACACAGGUGGUCAGGUAGAGAAUACCAAGGCGCUUGAGAGAACUCGGGUGAAGGAACUAGGCAAAAUGGUGCCGUAACUUCGGGAGAAGGCACGCUGGUGUGUAGGUGAAGCCCCUGCGGGUGGAGCUGAGACCAGUCGAAGAUACCAGCUGGCUGCAACUGUUUAUUAAAAACACAGCACUGUGCAAACACGAAAGUGGACGUAUACGGUGUGACGCCUGCCCGGUGCCGGAAGGUUAAUUGAUGGGGUUAUCCGUAAGGAGAAGCUCUUGAUCGAAGCCCCGGUAAACGGCGGCCGUAACUAUAACGGUCCUAAGGUAGCGAAAUUCCUUGUCGGGUAAGUUCCGACCUGCACGAAUGGCGUAAUGAUGGCCAGGCUGUCUCCACCCGAGACUCAGUGAAAUUGAACUCGCUGUGAAGAUGCAGUGUACCCGCGGCAAGACGGAAAGACCCCGUGAACCUUUACUAUAGCUUGACACUGAACAUUGAGCCUUGAUGUGUAGGAUAGGUGGGAGGCUUUGAAGCGUGGACGCCAGUCUGCGUGGAGCCAACCUUGAAAUACCACCCUUUAAUGUUUGAUGUUCUAACGUUGGCCCCUUACCGGGGUUGCGGACAGUGUCUGGUGGGUAGUUUGACUGGGGCGGUCUCCUCCCAAAGCGUAACGGAGGAGCACGAAGGUUAGCUAAUCCUGGUCGGACAUCAGGAGGUUAGUGCAAUGGCAUAAGCUAGCUUGACUGCGAGCGUGACGGCGCGAGCAGGUGCGAAAGCAGGUCAUAGUGAUCCGGUGGUUCUGAAUGGAAGGGCCAUCGCUCAACGGAUAAAAGGUACUCCGGGGAUAACAGGCUGAUACCGCCCAAGAGUUCAUAUCGACGGCGGUGUUUGGCACCUCGAUGUCGGCUCAUCACAUCCUGGGGCUGAAGUAGGUCCCAAGGGUAUGGCUGUUCGCCAUUUAAAGUGGUACGCGAGCUGGGUUUAGAACGUCGUGAGACAGUUCGGUCCCUAUCUGCCGUGGGCGCUGGAGAAUUGAGGGGGGCUGCUCCUAGUACGAGAGGACCGGAGUGGACGCAUCACUGGUGUUCGGGUUGUCAUGCCAAUGGCACUGCCCGGUAGCUAAAUGCGGAAGAGAUAAGUGCUGAAAGCAUCUAAGCACGAAACUUGCCCCGAGAUGAGUUCUCCCUGAGACUUUAAGUCUCCUGAAGGAACGUUAAAGACGAUGACGUUGAUAGGCCGGGUGUGUAAGCGCAGCGAUGCGUUGAGCUAACCGGUACUAAUGAACCGUGAGGCUUAACCUU